UAUGAAUGAAUUUACUAUGAAUUUUUUCUGAAUUUUUUCUGAAUUUAUAAUUUUGUUGAAAAUAACAAUAUAAUUCUUUAAGACUAAAAGACCCUAAAAUUUUUAUAAUUUGAUAAUUAUUUAGUUGGGGAAAUAAUUGAUGUAUAAAUAUUUUUAAUUUUUCUUUUAAAAGAACUUUUAUUAAAGAUGAGUUUGUUAAAAUACUCUAGGG
rnacentral:rRNA from 1 species